AUGGACAUGAAGGCCCCUGCUCAGCUCCUGGGGCUCCUGCUGCUCUGGCUUCUAGGUGCCAGAUGUUCCGGCCAAACGAUAACCCAGACUCCAUCUGUGGUGUCUGCACCUGUGGGAGGCACAGUCACCAUCAAUUGCCAGUCAAGUCAGAGUGUUGCUAACAACAAUGCUCUAGCCUGGUUUCAGCAGAAACCAGUGGAGCCCCCGAAGCCUCCAAAGCUCCUGAUCUAUGCUGCAUCCACUUUAGAUUCUGGGGUCCCCUCGAGGUUCAAGGGCAGUGGAUCUGGGACAUCAUUCACUCUCACCAUCAACCCGGUGCAGGCUGAGGAUGCAGGAGUCUACUACUGUGCUGGAGGUUAUAGUAGUAGUUGGAUUUACACAGUGAUACAAGCCUUAACAAAAUCUUCCCAGGAAAGCAGAAGUGAGAGCCUGAGCUGGCCUAGGUUCUCCUGGAGACUUAAUCUACCAACAGUCAUUCUCUGUUGCGGCCAGCCUUCCAUGGUUCCUAUAAGGUAGUUAGAAAUGCCCUAGUACUGCUCUAUAGCCUCCCUCAUUUCCUUUUACUUGGCAUUUCCAGUACAGUACUGAUGUA